CAAAUAGUUCGAAGUUAAGAACUGUUUUAUUUUUUAUCCAACAAAUUAGAGUGAAUUGUGCUUUAAAUCAUGAAAAUUAUUUGUAUUAUUUCCAUUUUAUUUUAUUCUUUGAAUUGGGUUCAACCUCUUGACAUUCCUGUCAUUACCCAGAUUCAGGAUAUCAUAGGACUUGCUCAUGACAUUGGUGAUAUACUAUCUGGAAAUAUUCCACUUCAAAAUUUAUUUACCACUCAAUCGGAUCCAAUGGCCAAAGUAAUGAAAAAAUUAGAUGAUAUUACUGAGAAAAUAGAAAACCUGGAUGUGAAGUUAGAUGACUUAUUGGCUUCAAUUAUCGCUCGACUUCCAUUGGAAGAUAACAUUAACACUGAUAUACGUAAUCUUCAAGAGUACAUUUCUCGAAUUGACGAUAUAUAUAGUUACUUCUUGGCAUAUACCAGGAAUAUAUCAAAUUUCAGCAAUGAUACACUCACAGAAUUUGCCACUAUUGUUACAUCUGCGAAGUCUAAUAACCUUCCAGACAUCCUCAACAAGAUUUUUAACAUCAUUGUGCCUAAAAAGACCGCACUCAAUCGGAUGAGCUUUUUGGAGAAUAUGGCACAAAGAAGAAAGAUAAUGAAUCUUUUGGAGAUGUGUAAUCCUCAAAUUUCGUAUCAAAAUCGGCUGUUACAGAUUUACAAUUUGAUAUCAAUCACUGAAAUGAAAGCUUUCUUGAUGACUUCGUUUGCUUAUAGAUUGAAAAAUGAAUUAAAAAGAGUUAAAUCAAAAGGGGAAAUUGACCGGGCUCGGAAUAGUUUUAUUGUGAGAUUGGAUAAAUACUUGAUAGAGUUCAAGAAGAACAUGCUGCCAGCUUCAAGAGAAAUUUUUCUUUGUGAUCCUGAAUCACUUACCGAUCAAGAAACUUAUGUAGAGCUAGAGGGGCUCUUUAAUGCUUACGUCAUGAAUGAAUAUGAAGUAAGUAUGAAUCCUUGUUCUACAACCUGUUCUCAAAUCUGGACAUGGACGCAUCACCGUUGUUAUAAACUCCAUUAUCAAAAUUAUUGCCCUAAACAUCCUUGCAAAGGACUGAUCCGUGACUGCGGUUGGAUUGGUGGUGAUGUAGACAUCUGCGAAUACAAAGCAGAUUUCAUAAAACGUUACAAUUAUUUACGAUCAUAUUCUAACGGAUGGUAUGGAGAAUGGAGUAAAUGUCAUUCUGAAAACAUGACUUACCAACAAGUAAAAAGUGAGCUGUACCAUUGGUACUCAUGCGACAUGUGUAUAUGUAGAUGUGAGGAAUCUUACGGUUCAUCUAGAGCCAUUAGAACCUUUAGUUUACGUCCCCAAAUAUCCAACAUUGACGAAAACAAAGUUGUAUCAGACGUUAAAUUUACCAUGAAAGAUAAAAUGAUUCACAUCCAGAUUGAAGAAACACCACUGCUGCCUCUUGGUCAGUUAGCCAAGAAUGAGUCGUCUUGGGUACCUUUAGAAGAUUUUAUAUAUUUAUCCAAUAUCACUGGUGGAGGCUGGGUCCAAAUAAAAGACGGCAAAUAUAUCCCUAUGAUACGAGACACAGAUUUUGCAUUUAUUAGAAGAGAUCAAAGAGUAUUGAAUCUCGAUGAAAUAUCAGGUGGACCAAAUUUCGUUCUGACAGGUGUUAGGUUGCGUCAUGAAUCAGAAAAAUAUAGUGAUGAUGCAUCAGCAGGCAAUAUCAGCCCUCUUCAGAUAGAGAUUCAUGUCACGCCUUUUAAUUAUUCCGAUGGCAAAUUGAUGCCAACUGAAGAGAAUCCAUCAGUAUGGAUCACACCACUAACUCAGCCCAAAUUGCCGCCAGCAUAUAAGAAUCAAAGAAAAGAACUAAAAAUAGGAGAAAAAGUUUAUCGGUGGGAGAGUUCACCAAGUCUACCUAAUGUUAAACCUAAUCAGUAUAUUGAGUUCAAACAAUCUUCUAUUCAUUCUGAUGUUGGUCAGAGCACAAUACCUUUCAUGGACUCUCGACCUACUGCACCUUCUAGUCCUAUAGCAUUUGAUGGACUUGGUCUCAUGUACAGAGGUCAUGAGAAAUUCGGAGGAUUUGUUCUUUUCAAAGCGAUGACCAUGGACUUGACCCAUUACAUGGAUUCAUCAAUGACUGUUCAACAAGAGAGAUACUACGCUAAUCAUGUUCGCAAAUCUUUACCAGUUUUGCCGAAUAAGAAAUUAAACAAGCAAUAAUUCUAUAAUGUGCAAUAGUUAAAUUUCUUUAAUUUUCUAGUAACUAGCUCAGACACGACAAUCUUAUAUCUAUGUGCUUCAAAAAAUUGGCAGAAAUAUACGUAAAUGACCGAAGUCUCUAAAUCGGACGAUAAUCUUACGUUGAUUUGGUUACUAGACUUAGUUAAAGACAUGAAAUGAUCACUUUUUCCGAUGAUCUCAAGUUUACUUGUUGUUUAACGAUCUGAUUAAUAAAAUAAUAAUUUAAUUCUUCAUGAUUUGGAAA
rnacentral:misc_RNA from 1 species